UGUAAGCCGCUGGCUGUAUUCACACAGAAGAGACAGAGAUUCUGGCCUCUGAGGUGGAAAAGAUCCAGGAGAGGAGAGAGCUGUGUGUGAAGCAAGACAAGCAAGAUCCAACCACUGGCAGGUUCUCUUUUCCAAUGAUACUGGUGAGACCGGCCUCAAGACCAGAGAGACACUGUCCUGACCCUGAAGAAGCCCACAGUCCUGUGAUGGAACAGGCAUGCAUAGCGGUGGUCUAGAGAAACUGGCAGGAACAACUCUGGAAGGGUUUUCUGCCACCACAGGAAGGUCCAUGAAAUCCUUGAUUGAUGGGUCCCUGAUUGGUCAGAGGAAGCUUGCAGAGGAGGUGACCCUGGAGCCAGAACAUGACAGCCAUGCAAGAUGGGGGCAAGAAAGAGGGCAGUUCAACCGUGCCAAGAUGUGAAACUGUAAAUCCACUGGCAUCUCCCGACAAGACCUCGUUGCUAAUAUUGUUUAGUACAAGAAACAGUGAGAGGUUACAUUGGUGAGGCAGAUGAGGGACAUCGUAUGGAAAAAUUAAGAGAUGUGGACAUUGACCUGAAAGUGAG